UACGUAGGGUGCAAGCGUUGUCCGGAAUUAUUGGGCGUAAAGAGCUCGUAGGCGGUCUGUCACGUCGGCUGUGAAAACCCGGGGCUCAACCCCGGGCCUGCAGUCGAUACGGGCAGACUAGAGUGCGGUAGGGGAGACUGGAAUUCCUGGUGUAGCGGUGAAAUGCGUAGAUAUCAGGAGGAACACCUGCGGUGUAGACGGCUUUCUGGACCAUUGUUGACGCUGAGACACGAAAGCGUGGGUAGCAAACAGG
rnacentral:rRNA from 1 species